GAUGGCGUGCCUUUUGUAGAAUGAACCGGCGAGUUACGAUUUGAUGCAAGGUUAAGCAGUAAAUGUGGAGCCGUAGCGAAAGCGAGUCUGAAUAGGGCGUUUAGUAUUUGGUCGUAGACCCGAAACCGGGUGAUCUACCCUUGGUCAGGUUGAAGUUCAGGUAACACUGAAUGGAGGACCGAACCGACUUACGUUGAAAAGUGAGCGGAUGAACUGAGGGUAGCGGAGAAAUUCCAAUCGAACCUGGAGAUAGCU
rnacentral:rRNA from 1 species